rnacentral:lncRNA from 1 species
AACAACUAUCACGGUACAAGAUCCAUCAUACAUCAUGACUACAAAAUAAUUUUUAGCUAACAAUUUUUUCUAUUUUGCAGGAAUAAAAGGAAUGUCUACAUCAUUGGUGGAAAUCCGGUGGGUGGUAUUAGCAUUUCUGAUGCUCAUUCUAUUGGAGAUCCCUCAAUGUAGUUGGUCACUCCCUGUUUCUUCACUGGAAAUCCAACAAUCUUCAACCAAUAUUAGUCAUACCACAAACACACUCAUAGAAGUUUCUCACCUAAACAUGAUAACACAAGCCAACUCACACAAACUGCACUUUCACACCACAACAUAUCCCACUCUACACCAUACCUAUAACCAAGACCACUAUUGCCUUGAGUAUCUCACUCAAUUUCCCAGUACACAUAAGAAUCUGGCUGAAGAAGCAGUCUAUAAUGUACCACCUCUCAUCAUCUCCUUUUAGGAUUAAGAACAUACAAAAACCUGGGCCCUAAAAUUGCUAACUCUAGCUAAGGAGUAGUAACUCUUCACACUAACAAACUUCUAACUUUUUCAGGCAUAAAACUUCAAGGACUCGUAUGUUUCUUCUAUUUUUUUGGUGGUGUGCAAAACCCUCCAGAAAAGGAGCAUGAACUCAGCAUGAACUCCUUGAUUGGUUCUCCACCACACCAAUUCCUCUUUACCAGAGCACACAUAAUACUUACACCACAAAUCACAUCAAAGGCACCUUCUUCCAGUCAUUACCUACUAGCAUUAUUCAAAAAAGGAAGUUGACAUCAAUCAAAGCUCCCAAAACACACAAGAACCUAGGAGCCUUUGUUUAACUUGUUUGUUACUUUUUGCAGGUACCAUGGCCAUAUCCAGAUUGUUGAUGCAUUUACAAGGUGCAUUAUCAACAUCUCAGAUGUUCAAUUUCUUAGAAAUGCAUCAGUUUAUUUGGGCAUGCCAAAAUACUUGCAAUUAUACAAUCAUCAACAAUAGCAUCAAUCCAGUUUAAUACUAGACACCUCAGAAGUAUACUACAAUGCCACCUAUACAUAGAUUUUCACCAUAUUAUCCACCAUUUAUGCUACAUGCAUCUGGGCAUCACCAGGACACCACAAGGGCUCUGACCUAGCCUUCAUAAAAUUCUUGUUCAUAUACUCUCAGCAGCAGCAGUCAAUAGUAGUCAUCAACAACUAACUUGCCCGAUCACAUAGGCCUUUUGAUUUCUAUCUUAAACUUGGCUCUCUUUGCUCUCAAUGUCAAAGCAAAUUUGAAGAUAGCCCCUACUACAGUCACACACUUUUUGAUAUCCUCCUUUGGAGGCUCCGUCACCUAAUCUGGAUGCAGCAUCCUAUGUACAUAGAGUUGGAUCCCCAUACCCUUUUCUUAGGAGAUCCAAGAUCAAUUGUACUUUUUGUAUAUCUAACACAGGCACAUUAAACCGUGAUUUUGUAUAUCCAUCUAUCUAUCAUUGCUGCAUAGACAAUGGGAACCUUACUCUAGGUCUAAAUCCACUUAGUUGUGUUGAUACACUUGAUUAUCAUUUACAAAUUAUCGAGUGUACAAUAAUUUUUUGGGAGGUAGGGUGUUUU